rnacentral:misc_RNA from 1 species
CUCGGGUAAUGAGGAAGCUUCAGGAUUAGGAUUAGGUAUAUGCCCCUCCGACCAUGCUAAGCCUUUGUCCUUGUACAGAGUUUAUGCAGGAAGCCCCGAAAAUGGGACCUUGAAGUUCAUGCUUUUGUUCGCCUAUGGUGUUGGGGGAGUUGAGAUUAUCGUUAUCCUUCUUGCCUGGUGUUUCUUGAAUAAGUCUCAGAAGGACUCCAAUGAAGCUACACAAAACUAUCAUCCUGCAGCAACUGGAUUUAAAAGAUUCACUUAUUCUGAGCUCAAAAAAUCAACCCGGAACUUCAGCCAGGAAAUUGGAAGAGGAGCAGGAGGAAUCGUAUACCAGGGGACGCUUUCUGAUAAUCGAGUUGCAGCAAUCAAACUUCUUAAUGUAGCUAACCAAGGAGAAGCGGAGUUUCUAGCAGAAAUUAGC